rnacentral:rRNA from 1 species
AACGAACGCUGGCGGCAGGCCUAACACAUGCAAGUCGAACGCUCCGCAAGGAGAGUGGCAGACGGGUGAGUAACACGUGGGAAUCUUCCUAUCGGUGGGGAAUAGCUCAGGGAAACUUGGGGUAAUACCGCAUACGCCCGUAAGGGGAAAGAUUUAUCGCCGAUGGAUGAGCCCGCGUCUGAUUAGCUAGUUGGUGGGGUAAUGGCCCACCAAGGCGACGAUCAGUAGCUGGUUUGAGCAAAGGACCAGCCACACUGGGACUGAGACACGGUCCAGACUCCUACGGGAGGGAGCAGUGGGGAAUCUUGGACAAUGGGCGCAAGCAUGAUCCAGCCAUGCCGCGUGAGUGACGAAGGUCUUCGGAUUGUAAAGCUCUUUUAGCAGGGACGAUAAUGACGGUACCUGCAGAAUAAGCCCCGGCUAACUUCGUGCCAGCCGCCGCCGUAA